GUCCCGGUUUAAGCGUGUAGGCUGGUUUUCCAGGCAAAUCCGGAAAAUCAAGGCUGAGGCGUGAUGACGAGGCACUACGGUGCUGAAGCAACAAAUGCCCUGCUUCCAGGAAAAGCCUCUAAGCAUCAGGUAACAUCAAAUCGUACCCCAAACCGACACAGGUGGUCAGGUAGAGAAUACCAAGGCGCUUGAGAGAACUCGGGUGAAGGAACUAGGCAAAAUGGUGCCGUAACUUCGGGAGAAGGCACGCUGAUAUGUAGGUGAAGUCCCUCGCGGAUGGAGCUGAAAUCAGUCGAAGAUACCAGCUGGCUGCAACUGUUUAUUAAAAACACAGCACUGUGCAAACACGAAAGUGGACGUAUACGGUGUGACGCCUGCCCGGUGCCGGAAGGUUAAUUGAUGGGGUCAGCGCAAGCGAAGCUCUUGAUCGAAGCCCCGGUAAACGGCGGCCGUAACUAUAACGGUCCUAAGGUAGCGAAAUUCCUUGUCGGGUAAGUUCCGACCUGCACGAAUGGCGUAAUGAUGGCCAGGCUGUCUCCACCCGAGACUCAGUGAAAUUGAACUCGCUGUGAAGAUGCAGUGUACCCGCGGCAAGACGGAAAGACCCCGUGAACCUUUACUAUAGCUUGACACUGAACAUUGAGCCUUGAUGUGUAGGAUAGGUGGGAGGCUUAGAAGUGUGGACGCCAGUCUGCAUGGAGCCGACCUUGAAAUACCACCCUUUAAUGUUUGAUGUUCUAACGUUGACCCGUAAUCCGGGUUGCGGACAGUGUCUGGUGGGUAGUUUGACUGGGGCGGUCUCCUCCUAAAGAGUAACGGAGGAGCACGAAGGUUGGCUAAUCCUGGUCGGACAUCAGGAGGUUAGUGCAAUGGCAUAAGCCAGCUUGACUGCGAGCGUGACGGCGCGAGCAGGUGCGAAAGCAGGUCAUAGUGAUCCGGUGGUUCUGAAUGGAAGGGCCAUCGCUCAACGGAUAAAAGGUACUCCGGGGAUAACAGGCUGAUACCGCCCAAGAGUUCAUAUCGACGGCGGUGUUUGGCACCUCGAUGUCGGCUCAUCACAUCCUGGGGCUGAAGUAGGUCCCAAGGGUAUGGCUGUUCGCCAUUUAAAGUGGUACGCGAGCUGGGUUUAGAACGUCGUGAGACAGUUCGGUCCCUAUCUGCCGUGGGCGCUGGAGAACUGAGGGGGGCUGCUCCUAGUACGAGAGGACCGGAGUGGACGCAUCACUGGUGUUCGGGUUGUCAUGCCAAUGGCACUGCCCGGUAGCUAAAUGCGGAAGAGAUAAGUGCUGAAAGCAUCUAAGCACGAAACUUGCC
rnacentral:rRNA from 1 species